rnacentral:lncRNA from 1 species
AGGGUCGUCCCAGGAAGGUUAAGCUAACGCAUUGACUCCUGCUAAAUGCCGAGGAAUAACCGUUUUUAACUUGGAGGAACACUAUGACGAGAAUUUGGUGAGAAGGAAUCUGUGUUCAACUCAGAUCAAAAAGGAGAAACCUGACAAAAGUAGCUGAAGGAAAUUAGGGAUUGCAAGACAUUUUACAGAGGCUUUUGUUUUUAUCUGUUGUUUUUCUUUACUAUAUUGCAAUUAUCUUUUUCAAGCGUUUUGAAUUAUGGGAGAUAGAUCUCUUUGUCGAACUUCUUAGUUAUUCUUAAAUUAAUGGAAAGCCUCUGUUUUAUUAUUUUGUUCAAAUUGUUUUACGAGUUAUAUACUUUAACAUAACAACAAUGACAUACUAAAUUUUACAAUGUUUAAGCAAAUAGUAAUAAAUUUAAUUGCAUUUUCUUUGGUACUAACGGUUUUACCAAUAGCAUACACUACAAGAAAACAUAUUUUUUACUAGGGCAGUAUUCGUUGUAAAUUCGUCGUAAACGAGGUGUUACGACGAAUUAACGUCGAAAGACGUUUCGUUGUUAAACGUCC